AAGUCGUAACAAGGUAACCGUAGGUGAACCUGCGGUUGGAUCAUUAAAAAUCAGAGUCUUUGGACUCGCACUGGGCAGUUUUCGGACUGCUUGGUAAACCCCUGUGAAUUGUUUGCACUUUAAUGUGUCUUUACUUUUAUAAUGACUGAAUCAAGUAGAUUAAAUUAAAAAUAAAACUUUUAACAACGGAUCUCUUGGCUCCC
rnacentral:misc_RNA from 1 species